rnacentral:tmRNA from 1 species
UGGCGAAAAUAACUACGCCUUAGCUGCCUAACUUAGAGUUAGAUUAGCUUUCGUUCCGAUGGUUUGCGGUUUCUUAGAGCCAUCAUCAGGAACGUCGAAAUAAGAAACUGGUUUGCUGCCGGUGUGAUCAGCGAACGAGAUAAAGCACCUACGGAAAACGGUACAGGUUCGCGGCUGACCUUCCCUUUCCCGACAAUUUAACAGCAGAUAAGCAUGUAGAAGGCUUACCUUAUACCAUGUUUGGACGAGAGUUCGAAUCUCUCCGGGUCCACCU